rfam:Drosophila melanogaster chromosome 3L.
UGUGUUGCAGUUUCGUUUUGUGACCGACACUAACGGGUAAUUGUUUGGCCGCCAGGAUUACUCGUUUUUGCGAUCACAAAUUAUGAAAUUGCAGCAA